GACGAACGCUGGCGGCGUGCUUAACACAUGCAAGUCGAACGAAGAGCGAUGGAAGCUUGCUUCUAUCAAUCUUAGUGGCGAACGGGUGAGUAACGCGUAAUCAACCUGCCCUUCAGAGGGGGACAACAGUUGGAAACGACUGCUAAUACCGCAUACGAUCUAAUCUCGGCAUCGAGGAUAGAUGAAAGGUGGCCUCUACAUGUAAGCUACCACUGAAGGAGGGGAGUGCGUCUGAUUAGCUAGUUGGAGGGGUAACGGCCCGCCAAGGCGAUGAUCAGUAGCCGGUCGGAGAGGAUGAACAGCCACAUUGGGACUGAGACACGCCCCAGACUCCUACGGGAGGCAGCAGUGGCGAAUCUUCCGCAAUGGACGAAAGUCUGACGGAGCAACACCGCGUGAGUGGUGACGGCCUUCGGGUUGGAAAGCUCUGUUAAUCGGGACGAAAGGCCUUCUUGCGAAUAGUGAGAAGGAUUGACGGUACCGGAAGAGAAAGCCACGGCUAACUACGUG
rnacentral:rRNA from 1 species